UACAGAGGAUGCAAGCGUUAAUCGGAAUUACUGGGCGUAAAGCGCACGUAGGCGGUUUUUUAAGUCAGAUGUGAAAGCCCCGGGCUCAACCUGGGAAUUGCAUUUGAAACUGGGAAACUAGAGUGUGUGAGAGGGGGGUAGAAUUCCAAGUGUAGCGGUGAAAUGCGUAGAGAUUUGGAGGAAUACCAGUGGCGAAGGCGGCCCCCUGGCACAACACUGACGCUCAGGUGCGAAAGCGUGGGGAGCAAACAGG
rnacentral:rRNA from 1 species